UCGGGAAUUUUGGGCAAUGGGCGAAAGCCUGACCCAGCAACGCCGCGUGAGGGAUGAAGUAUUUCGGUAUGUAAACCUCGAAAGAAUGGGAAGAAUAAAUGACGGUACCAUUUAUAAGCUCCGUCUAACUACGUGCCAGCAGCCGCGGUAAUACGUAGGGAGCAAGCGUUGCUCGGAUUUACUGGGCGUAAAGGUCGCGUAGGCGGCGCGGUAAGUCACUUGUGAAAUCUCUGAGCUUAACUCAGAACGGCCAAGUGAUACUGCUGUGCUAGAGUGCGGAAGAGGCAACCGGAAUUCUUGGUGUAGCGGUGAAAUGCGUAAAUAUCAAGAGGAACACCUGAGGAGAAGGCGGGUUGCUGGGCCGACACUGACGCUGAUGCGCGAAAGCCAG
rnacentral:rRNA from 1 species